rnacentral:misc_RNA from 1 species
GAUGAAGAACGCAGCGAAAUGCGAUAAGUAAUGUGAAUUGCAGAAUUCAGUGAAUCAUCGAAUCUUUGAACGCACAUUGCGCCCGCCAGUAUUCUGGCGGGCAUGCCUGUUCGAGCGUCAUUUCAACCAUCAAGCCCCCGGCUUGUGUUGGGGACCUGCGGCUGCCGCAGGCCCUGAAAACCAGUGGCGGGCUCGCUGUCACACCGAGCGUAGUAGAUUUUCAUCUCGCUCAGGGCGUGCUGCGGGUUCCGGCCGUAAAAAGCCUUAUUUACCCAAGGUUGACCUCGGAUCAGGUAGGAAGACCCGCUGAACUUAAGCAUAUUAAUAAGCGGAGGA